GCCAAACGUGAAGCACUUCGUGACGACCAGUAUGGAGAUGUACAUAGCCUCUUUUGUGGGCUUCAUGGUGACCUACCUGGUACUGGUGUGCUGUGGGGACGUACGCAGGCGGCACCCCUGCAACCUCGUCCUCCUCUUCAUCUUUACGCUGUCGUUCGCGUACAUGCUGGGCGUGAUCUCCGCCUUCCACAGCACGUACAUCGUGUUCAUGGCGGCCGCCGUGACCGCCGUC